rnacentral:rRNA from 1 species
CCCUUAGACGUUCUGGGCCGCACGCGCGCUACACUGACCAGUGCAACAAGCAUCCGUCCUUGGCCGACAGGCUCGGGUAAUCUUUGAACGCUGUUCGUGAUUGGGAUAGACCUUUGCAAUUAUGGGUCUUCAACGAGGAAUUCCUAGUAAACGCAAGUCAUCAGCUUGCAUUGAUUACGUCCCUGCCCUUUGUACACACCGCCCGUCGCACCUACCGAUUGAAUGGUCCGGUGAAAUCUCGGGACGGCGGCUUGGUCGCUUGCGUCCGACUGCUGAAACUUGAUUAAACCAUAUCAUUUAGAGGAAGGUGAANUCGUANCA